GAAUAUCUAACACCAUUUUGGUUCGCUAUGCUUCUAAAUGAAUAUGAAAUAGAGUUUAUGUUCAGAAAAAUUCGAAACAUUCGAAAUUUGGGCAAUGUUCACAUUAGAGGUCCUCUCAUUGUUAUGAGCAGAACCGAUGCGCAGAACGGACUUGACUUCCCCUUUAAUAGCACAGGUGGUUAAGGCAGACCAUUAGAAAUCUUGGGCGGGGUGUGUGUGACAAUUUCCCCAAAAAACAUAAAAAGAGAAAUCAUGACAUGUGGGAAAACAAUUCAUGCAGCUAAUAAUUCAGAGAAAAGAACUUUUUGUUUUGAAUGUUUUAUCUUUUUUGUGUUUUCUAUAUAAAACGUUGCCCUACUCUCAAGACUCCCAAAGGUCCACCCUAAUUAAUAGUAUUAAUCAUUCUUCUUCUUGGUAGCUUGCUAAGUCAUCUCUUCUUAUAUCAAGCCAGUCUUCUUGAGGAAUGCCAUUUGGCCACUUGGUUGUUUUCCAUGCAUAGAGGCCUUGCCAAAACUCCUUUUGUUUGCGGGCUCUCUGUAUGGUAAUUUCUCGAAUAUAUUUGCGCUAUCAAAAAAAUUAUUCAGAUUGUUGUGGUGAACAAGUAAUAUUUAGUAUUCAAAUUAUCAUAUCCACCAUGUUGGAUGAAUUUGAACAAGGAUUAUAAUUCAAAUUUAUCCAACAUGGUGAAUAUAUAUUUAUUUCUUGAGUGACUAAGGGGUAGUUGCUAUUUUUUUUUCAACCAAUUUAUAAGCACAGGUCAUCAUAUUAGGGCACUGGACAUCAUAUUACGGCAUUUGUCAACAUUCAAAUUCAUUGGCAUUGGGUCAACAAUUCACCUCAAUUUGAUAUUUAGAAUUUAUACAAUAUUAAAAAAAGUGUGCAUGUUUGAAACCUGCAUACAGUACCAGUAAUGGUUUCUGGUUUAGAUUCCCAGAGCAUAUUUACAGCUUUUAAAUAAAAGGUAUAACUUGAAAAAUAAAUUGGUUUUUAUAUAUAAAUAGAAAGCACAUAUUGUUCAUU